GGCGAGAUAGCUCAGAUGGUUAGAGCGCAUGAUUCAUAAUCAUGAGGUCGCGAGUUCAAUUCUCGCUCUCGCUACUA
rnacentral:tRNA from 1 species